CAUUAACGAGUUUGAAAAGAGUUGUAGCUGGCCUUCAGGGGCAUGUGCACACUCUGCUCAUCCACAUACACCUGUGCACACUGAUAGUUUUUUGGGGGACGGAAGCUUUAGGGUGAAAGUCUGUCAGAAAGCUAUUUUACAUACACACACACAGUUUAGAAUGUAACUUUGCUAUAAACGCAUUAAAUAUAACUUUCAACAACGGAUCUCUUGGCUCUCGCAUCGAUGAAGAACGCAGCGAAAUGCGAUAAGUAAUGUGAAUUGCAGAAUUCAGUGAAUCAUCGAAUCUUUGAACGCACCUUGCGCUCCUUGGUAUUCCGAGGAGCAUGCCUGUUUGAGUGUCAUGAAUCUCUCAACUCUCAGAGUCUGUAAUGGACAAUGAGGGCUUGGACUUGGAGGCUUGCCGGUGUUUAUUGGCUCCUCUUAAAUGCAUUAGCUCUGGAUCGCGAUGUAGUGGAUCUACGGUGUGAUACAUGUCUACGCUAUAGAUUGCUACGCAAGUUACCGCCUUUUAGGUAAUGCUCUCACGAGCUGUGUAACCAGUGAAUACAAAGCUUCUAAUCGUCUUUGGACAAUACUCUUGACAUGCUGACCUCAAAUCAGGUAGGACUACCC
rnacentral:rRNA from 1 species